rnacentral:lncRNA from 1 species
GACUUCCUUGACGAUCCCCGAGCUUAUAACUAGCUUCCUAAAAUCUAUAAAACAAUGAACAAUCACACAUACAGUAAGUUUGGAAAGCUUAGUAAGUCAUAAGCAAAUAAAGUAUAAUAAGGUCAUUAAUAACUUAUUACUAUUUGGCAGAAUAUAACUAAACUCAUACAUAUAUAUAAUCACCUUUCACAAGUUAUUUCACAUAGUCACAUAAUUGCAUCAAAACUUACAUCUUCAUUCUUAUCUCAUAUAAACAUAAAACAUACCUGAAUUAUUUAAGCCGAACUCAUAUUUGAUCUUGCUAAUCUUUGCCCGUUAUACCAUUCAGAAUCAUUAAGGAUAUUCGAAUAGCUUAACAGCUCGUAUAAUGCCAUCGUCCAAGACAUGGUCUUACAUGUAAUCAAAUAUCGAUGCCACUGUCCUAGACAGGGUCUUAUACGAAGUCAAAUACGAUGCCAAUGUCCCAGACAUGGUCUUACACGUAAUUUUCAUAUCGAUGCCAACGUCCUAGAUGUGGUCUUACACGAAAUCACAUACCAGAAUCCUAUGGUUCGUACGGGGAUUUUGGACGUCGUAAUUAAAUAGAGUCAAAAUCAUAAAUAAUUUUCCCAUGCUUAUAACAAUUCGGCAUUUAUAAUACAUAUACAUACAAAUUUAACGAUAUUUAUUUACUUAUGAACUUACCUCGGAUGAAGACGAACGGACCGAGACGACUAUUCGAUAAAUUUUGAUUUCCCUCGUUCCAAAUCCGAUUUCGUCUUUUCUUGAUCUAAAUUAAUACAAAUUUGACUUGUUUAAUCAUAUAUUUAUUCAAAUUCAUUCAAAAACACAUAAAUGGGAAAAUUGAAUUUUAGCCCAUAACAUUUCACAUUUUUCACAAUUUAGUCUCUAUUUCACAAAACACAAAAUAUUCGAAAUUUCACCACACCCAAGCUUGGCUGAAUUUCACUAGCGUCCCUAGCAGCCCAUUUCUUUCAUUUAUUUUGCAUUUUGACCCUUAAAUUUACAAAAUUCACAAUUUAACCCUAAAUAGGCAUUUUUACUAAAAAUCACUUAAUUAAACAUAAUAAUCUAAAAACAUAUAUUUAUUUUUCAUCAUCAAACAAAAAAAAAAUCAUAAGCUAUCAUCAAUGGCAAAUCAUGAAUACAUCAACAAAUUCAAAAUUUAAAACAUGGGUUAGCUAGUAUUCGAAGCAACGAUCUCAAAAACGUAAAAAUUAUCAAAAACCAAGCAAAAAACAUACCUAAUUAUUUAAAGCUUCAAAGUGCCGAACCUAAAACAACAAAAUGGCUUCUUUCUUCUUCAAGUUUCGGCAAAAACAAAGAUGAAUGCAUGACUAUUUUAUUUUAUGUAAUUACAUUUUUUUAUACUUUUUACUAUUUUAACCUUAAUGAAAUCUUAAUAAAAAUCACAUGAAUCAUGAACAUAAAUGUCCACUAACCUUAUAAUGACAUAUUAACCUUUUAAGGACUUCCCAUAAAUCAAAUCAUAACAAAUUAGAAUAUUAACAAUGAGAAUGCCACUUUUACUUUUUAUGCGAUUUAGCCUUUUUCACAAAUUAAGCAUACAAGCGGAUAAAUUAAAUCACGAAAAUUUCACACAUGUCAAUUCACAUACUAUAAGCACGAAAAUUAAUAUUGAAAUAUUUUUCUGACUCUGAUUUUUGGUCCUGAAACUACUGUCCGACUAGGGUCUAAACCAGGCAGUUACAAUGGGGAUAGAUAUUUCGUCUCACGAUUCGUGCGGCCUUAAGCAAUCCGUUCGUCCAAACUAGAGGUAUUUAUAGGCCAAGCUGGACUGGGUUUAGAUCCGGAUCAACUAAAAAUUUAGGCCCAUUUACUAGGCUCGGGCCUAGCCCGACCCGAAAAAUAGGCCUAAAAUUUUGCUCAAGGCCGACCCGAAUAAAAAUGCUAAAACACGGGCCUGACCCAGCCCGUCCGUAUUAAUUUUUUAUAUAAUUUUUAAAUAUAUAUAAUACUUAAAAAAUACUAAAAAAUCAAAAUAAAUAUUUCCAAACAAAUUGAAAAUAAAUUUUAAAAAAUAUGUAGACUUAAAUAACACUAAGAUAGAUACAACUUAGCAAGCAAAUGCCUUUAAAAUAAUAACAAAAUUAACAAAUGUCUUUAAAAUAAUAACAAAAUUAACAAUAAAAUAAGUUUUAUACAAUAUUCAAACAAUAACAACAAAAUAGUAGCAACAUAAUAUUAAAAUGGUAGAAAACUAAGGAUAAAACAACAAGAAAAUAACAUUAAAAAAUAGUAGAUUUUUUUUGUCCUUUAGUGAAUUCGGGCCGAGUUGGGCCUGGGCCAAAAAUGCCUUACUCGAGGCCCGAGCCGUUUUUUAAAGGGGCCUUAUUUUUUUUGUUUAAGCCUAUUUUUCAGGCCUAUAUUUUUUUCCAAACCCUCCCACAUUUCGGACGGGCCUUCGGGCCGGGUUAGGUUGCCCGACCCAUGAUCAGGUCUAGUACAAACUCGCCUAAGUCAGUCUUUACUCAAGUGAGGAUUCCUUAAGAACCCCUCCAAGGCACCAAUUUGUAUAGCGGAAGCGAUUUAUGCCAAAAGAAGCAACAAAAAAAAUAACAGAAAGAACGCACACAAGGUGUUUGAGUAAAUGUUCUCUAUAUUCUCUUAUUCACAAAGAAUAAUGAAACAAUAAAUGGAGUGAGUACAAAUGAGGGGAAUACUCUCUACUUAUAGUUGAGCUCCCCCAAUACCGACGGUCAAGAUACAUUUACAUCGACAGACGAGAUUAACUAUAUCCCUUGAUUUUUAAGAUUUACAAGAUAUGUCAUAUCAAAUCUAAUCUAAUCUUUACAAGAUAUGAUUCUAUCAAUCUUCUAAGAUUAGUUACCAAAAUAGCCUAAGUUGCCAUAUCUUCUUUAUUGAGCCAACCAGGCUUCAAUCUGAUAGGCUUCUCCAAUAGCUUACCGAAUCGGGCCAGUUAUUGCGGGCCAAAUGAUCCCCAUCUACACAAUAGACUUCAUUUGGAUGCAUUUGGUGCGAUGGUCACGGGCUUUAAACUGCGGCCCGUGACACUAGAACAAUCUAAACUAUAAAUUAACAAAUAUAAUUAAAAUUCACACAUAGUAACAACUCAUAAGGACUCGAAAGCUUACACAAUUUUCUUUUUUCUUUUUUUUCGAUAAAUAAGAGAAGGCAUCACAUUGCCUUAGAUCAAUUCAUUCUUACAUAGGGAUCACAUAUUUUAUCUUCUAAAAGUAGUCUCCUAAUAUAGAAUGUAGGAACAUCAAAUGGUAACUAAAUCAACAUCAUUAGAAGGACAUGAUCAGGCUAAUCAAUCAGCGACCAUAUUUGCUUCCCUACUCACAAACUGGAAGUUGAUUGUUGAAAAUUGUCGACACACUUCAUUGAUUUUCCUAAUAAGAGUCAUCAAGGGUGUACUUCCUAAGUACUCCUUAAUCAUAUUCACUGUCUUCAUGCAAUCAGUUUCUAUAAUCGCCUUAGUGUAAUUGUAAUACCCCCUACCCGUAUUCGUCGCCGAAAUAGGGUAUAAGGCAUUACCAGAUUUUACAGAAUAAAUUUUUCGUUAUUCCAAGUUAAAUACUAUUUAUUUAUCGAAACAUGUCAUGACGUCCCUUGGAUAUGCCUCCGAAGCCCAAAAUAUACAUCGGGACCAAACUAUGAUUAAAUUGAAACCAUAAGAAAUUAUUUUCGCAAAAUCCCAAAGUUUUUUUUUAUGAACUCAAUAUAACCCCUUUAUAAAUAUCUAAUAUUCCCUACAAUUUUAAACCAAGACCAAUCCAACACAACCAAUCCAUUUCAAUAUAUUUUCAAGAUAGAUUUAACAUAUUCAUAAGAUAAUCUCAUCACAUACCAAAACCAAAAUUUGUUAGCCAUACCAAUGGCUAACCAUACAUUCAUUUCACAUUAACAUUUACUUUACUAGCUUAUACAUGUCAUUGAUUUCCAAAAUAAAGGGGUACAUUUUAGUGUACAAAUCUGGGUCUGUCAAUUCAUAUUCAUGUGCGCAUAUUUUCAUUUCAGAUAGCACAUUCCCGCGAACCUCAUCCUUACAGCGAGAUUACCAAUCCAGGCUAAAUCCCCUGUAAUAUAAACUCAUAGAGUAUUGUCGGGAUUACCAGUCUAGGCUAAAUUCCUUACAAUGACAAUUACUCUAAUGAGCUUGGAUCUGAAUUACCAGUCCAGGCUAAAUUCAGACCCUAAUUCGGAUUACCCGUCUGGGCUAAAUCUAUUUUUCACAUAUUCUUCGAGAGGGCUAUACUAGGAUAGGAUCACCCGUCCGGGCUAGAUCCUUUUUACCAUCAAUUUCUUUUCAGAGAUCCAUCGAAUUUUCCUUCUAUUCAACCGAGAUUUCUUCUGAUUUUUAUCAAAUAUAUCAAAGUUUCAUCAAUUUUCAUACAAUGAACAUUCAAAUCAUAUUCACAUCAAUAACAAAUAUUUCAAGCAUUUAAGAAUAUAAUUCAAGUUACACGAACUUACCUCGAUACUUAUUCGUAUGCAAAAAUCUACUAAUCCAGAACUUUUUCUUUUCCUCGAUCUAGCUUCGUAUUUUAAUUUUUUGGUGCAAGUAUUUCACAGCUUGAAUAAACCCUUAGGACGUUUUUGGCUGAUGAUAAUGAAGAGAAUUCUAGAUAUUACAAGUUGAUCCCAUUUUUAUUUUAGUAAAUUUUGUUAUUUUCCCAUUUUGCCCUUAUUUCACCAAUUCUCCUGAUUUUUCUCAGCUUACGCCACCCAAAAUAUAUCAUUUUGGGCUUAUUUGCAAUUUAUGUCCCUUCUCAUUUAACAAUUGAGCUAUUUAAUCCUUCUAAUAACUUUUACACCCUUUUCAAUUUAGUCCUUUUCACUUAAUUAACUACCCAAACGUAGAAAUUUUCUAACGAAAUUUUAAUACCAUAUUACUAACAUUUCAUAAAUGUUUAUAAAAAUAUUGCCGACUCAGUUUUCUGAGAUCGAGGUCCCGAUACCUUGUUUUACCUAAUUUCUUCAAUAAAUUUUUUUCUAACUAACCACUAAAUCGGUAAAAUUUUUCUAUCGAUUUUUUCAUACGAUUUUCCUAUCAUAUCAAUAUUCAUGCAAAAAUAUUAAAAUAAAUUUCUCUUUAAAUUGGAUUUGUGGUUACGAAACCACUGUUCCGAUAACCUUGAAUUUAGGCCAUUAAUGUAACCUUUAGUCCGAGCUAUUUCUAAGCCAUGAUGAAUCGCCCACAACUUUGAAUUCAUAACCGAGCCCCUUCCAACGAAUCUUUGAAACCCUUCAAUCUAAUUCCCUGAUGAGUCCCGUAACACACUCUUAGUUGCUGACCAAUCACCAUUUCUACGUGCCGCUUUAUUCGUGUUGACUUUGAGCCAUCCAUGACUGGGUGGACACCAUCUAGUCUGCAUAACUUGGGAGCCUCUAGUUCUACGACCCUUGAGAUUUGUUUGGCAAACAUUAAUGGUAAAAUACUCGGCGCUUCUAACAAUAUCUUCCACUUUGCCGAUCACCUGCUGGAAAACAUCUUAUUCCUAUUUUUCCACAACAUCCAACACAAAACUGCAAAGAUCACUUGAGACUUCGCUCCACUAGAUCCAAUCUAAAACUCUCCUCUAAGAUUGGCACUUAGCCACUCGAGCAAAUUCAACUCAAAGAAUCGAGGUACACAAUCAGCUGGAAUUAUCUUCAUCCAGGCUUCAGUUGCAAAUCGACAAUCUCAUAACGCAUGCAAAUCAAUUUCAUGAAAUCCUCCACAGAGUAAACAUCUUGCUUUGUCAGUCAGUCUUUUCCUAACCCUUUCAUAAUUACUAAAAAGUCUUUGGUGAAUCACUAACCAUAAGAAGUGUUUAAUUCUUAGAGGUAAGACAUUGUUCCAAAUUUCCUUCCACCCAGUGUCGACAUGGGGAACAUCAAACUGAACAAUGCUCUUAUAAGCAACCUUAACUGAGAACCUACCAUUAACAUUUUGUCUCCAUAAACAUGUAUCAUUACCUGGAACAUCAUUAGAUGAGUGACAUGCAAUAAUGUAAUCCAGUAUCUCACUGCUAAAUCAAUGCCUCUACUCUGACCAUUUCCAGCAUCUAUUCGUAUACACAAAAUCAGCCACAUUAAGGUGUGCCAAAAUAAUUGCAUUAGAAGACAGAUAUUCAAAUAGAGGCAUCAAAUCAGGGAUCCAAACAUCCUGCAUAAAACUAAUUGAUUUGUUAUUCCCUAAGUUCCAGUACAAGUUCUUCCGAAAUCAUUCCCAAAUAUAGGAUAUCGAAUGCCAUACAUAAGAGCAAUUAAAUUUUAUUUAUCAAGAGUGGGCAUAACUCCGACAUCUUAUACUUACUACGUAGUACUUUGAUCUAUAGCGCGUCCAGCUUGCUCACUAUCUAACAAUGAGAUAUUUUGAGGCACCAACCUCCUCAAACCAAGGCCCCCCAUCUUAAUAUGUUGACAACAAGUAUCCUAUUUGACUAAUGUCAUCUUCUUUCCACUAGUUGAACUCCAAACAAACUAUCUAACAAUCUGCUCAAUUUUCUCAUAGAUACUUAUAGGAAACAUUGUUGACUGCAUGAAGUAACCUAAUAUAGCUAGCAACACCGAUUUUGCCAAUAUUGUUUAUCUUGCCAAUAACAAUAGCUUAACAUCGAAAUAAUUCAGUUUCCUCUUUACUUUAUCAAUAACAAACUGGAAAGUGCUCUUAGUGGCUAUUUUGUGAAACAACGGUGCUCCUAAGUAAGUGCCCAGGUCCUCCACCUUCUGAAAUCCUAAGACAUUCCCAGGCAUUCUCCUAACCAUAGUCUAUUUGUUAGCCGAGAAGUAACUUUUUGAUUUACCAGAAUUUAUUUUAUGGCUUGUUGACAUAGUUUCAGCAUUCUCCAAACUUGUUUCCCUAAACGACACCAAGUCGUCGGCAAAAAAUAGGUGAGAAAGAAAAUGUCCCCCUCUUUCCCAAUUUAUAGGCUUCCACUUUCGAUUCAAAACCACCAACUUGACCGCAUGACCAAGCUUCUCCAUUGCUAAAACAAAGAUAUACGGCGAGACUGGGUCACCCUGCCUUACACCUCUCAUUGGUAAAAAUUCAUCCGUGAAGUCUCCAUUCCAAAGUGUUUGCAUUGAUGACAUCAAUACGCAAUGCAUUAUUAUGCAAAUAAUAUUAUUAGGCACAUGAGCAUCUUCAAAAGUGUCUUUGAUGAAAUCCCUUUUAAGCGAUCAUAUUUUUUCUUCAUAUCGAUCUUGACUGCCAUCCAAUCUUUCUUCCCUUUUCGACCCAUCAUAAAAUGGAUAACCUCUUGUGCAUUGACAACAUUAUCCAUAAUGUUCUGGCCUCCCACAAAGCUAGUUUGGUUAUUCAGAAUAAGGGUCGGCAUGAUAGGUUUGAGUCGAUUCACAAUUACCUUAGAGAUGAUCUUAUAUGACACAGAGUAUAGAUUUAUGGGUCGCAACUGCAUAAUAGACUCUGGAGCAGUCACCUAAGGAAUAAGAACAAGUAAAGUUCUAUUAAAAAAACCCUCAAGGUUGUCAUUCUCAAAGACUCUCCUAACCAAAAAAACCAGAGAUUCCCUAACCACGUUCCAUUAUGAUUGAUAAAACUAAACAUGUAAGCCAUCAAUCCCCAGAGCUUUAAGCGGCACCAUAUCAAAUAGUGCAUUGUGAGCUUCCUGAGUAGACAAGUUUCAACCAAAUGCUUCUAAUAAAAAAAGCUCAACAAUAUAGAACAUAUUCUUAACAAGGAAGCUUCAUGCACUAGGUGCAUCAGCAUAUACAGUCUUUGAAAAAAUGAAACAACUUCAUAUCAUAACUUAUCUUCAUCAUAACACCACGACCCAUCCUCUAACUCCAGGGCUUUAAUCUGAUUUAAUCUUUGCCUUGAAUUAGCUCGAGAAUGGAAGUACUUAGAGUUUUGAUCACUGAGGGACAACCAAUCAUUUCAAGAUUUUUGUUUCUAGAGAAGCUCAUCACUAUCAAGUACACUUUCGAGCUUAAUUUGCAGAUCUUUCUCCAGUUCAAUAAGCUUCCUUGACCGGUACCUCUCCAAACAUAUUUGAAUUCCACCUAAUCGUAUCAAUAAGAUCCGCUUUCUCUUUAGUAUGUUCCCAGAGACAUCCUUAUUCCAUUUCGUUGUUGCCACUACAAACUUCUUAAUCGACUCCUCUAACGGACUGCCAUUCACCCAAUUCUCAUUAACCAAAUGAUAGAAACCACUAUGAAACAACCAUCCACUUAAAAAUUGAAAAAGUCAAUAAGGGUUCCCAACAUUAUCCUUACCAAACCAGACAGAUAUAGGACGAUGGUCGAACUUAAUCCUUUGAAGGUGGUAGACCGUUGUUUUCGGGAGCAAAAGAUCCCACUGAGAGUUACAUAUAACUCGGUCAAGACGCUCAAACACAAUACCUCUAUUCCAUGUAAAAUUUGACCAUUGAAAACCAAGGUCUUUCAGAUUGUAACUUUGGCAGAAUCGUUGGAACAAUGGGCAGUUACUGGCAUAUUUCCUCGAGCUUCCUCUUUCUCCUCCUCACUUAGCAUCGCAUUAAAGUCAUCUGUGAUCAACAACGAUAACCUCAUAUUAUGUGAAAUAAUACCAUGCUCCUUCCAUAUCUCUUUCCCGACCGUCCACCGAGGACUCCCAUAAAUCCCAGUGAAAAAAAACUCAAUCAUUAAGCUUCGAAAGCCACACUUUCAAAUGCAAAAACUGAAAUUGGUUUACUUCCAUCGUUAUACUAACAUUAUCCUUCUACAAAACCCAAAUUCCCCCCGAAAAACCACUGGCUUCGACUCUAUGAGAAUUCGACAUGCCAAUACUCCCAAUUACUCGAUCUACCUUAAAGCCACUAACUAGGGUUUCAACUAGAACAACAAUACCAGGAUCAAAGUCCCGUAGGUACUCCUUAAAAAAGCUGUGAAAAUUUGAGUGUCCCGCACCUUAACAGUUCCACACAAAAAUAUUUGACUUCAUAAAAUAACAAAUAGAUCAAUAAAUCCAUCAAACCUGAAUUUGCAAAGUCACUCCGAAAAGUCAUCCAUACUAACCGUACCCACCUUCUCAACCUAUUGACUCUCACGGAAACCCCCUGGAUUUAGUUCUAUCUCCAACUGACUUGAGGUGGCCAUCAUGGUGUUCAUCGUUCGAGGCUCCAAAAUUUGUUCACCCAAUUCCAACCUACUCACCAUUCCCAGGACCGCUUGUUCAACUGGAAUAGAUAUGUCUGUACCGACUUGAUUCGGUUCUUUGCUAAUGUCGUCGAUCUCCAACAUGUCCUUUGUUAGAAUCUUCUUCAGUGAUGCCGGAAGAAAAGUUGGGGAAACCAAGUUCAUGAACCCCAAACUUUUGGCUUGGUUUACAGUCUUAGUAGAACCCAUAUUCGAGUUUUUGUUUUCUUU